CUGGGGCGGUCUCCUCCUAAAGAGUAACGGAGGAGCACGAAGGUUGGCUAAUCCUGGUCGGACAUCAGGAGGUUAGUGCAAUGGCAUAAGCCAGCUUGACUGCGAGCGUGACGGCGCGAGCAGGUGCGAAAGCAGGUCAUAGUGAUCCGGUGGUUCUGAAUGGAAGGGCCAUCGCACAACGGAUAAAAGGUACUCCGGGGAUAACAGGCUGAUACCGCCCAAGAGUUCAUAUCGACGGCGGUGUUUGGCACCUCGAUGUCGGCUCAUCACAUCCUGGGGCUGAAGUAGGUCCCAAGGGUAUGGCUGUUCGCCAUUUAAAGUGGUACGCGAGCUGGGUUUAGAACGUCGUGAGACAGUUCGGUCCCUAUCUGCCGUGGGCGCUGGAGAACUGAGGGGGGCUGCUCCUAGUACGAGAGGACCGGAGUGGACGCAUCACUGGUGUUCGGGUUGUCAUGCCAAUGGCACUGCCCGGUAGCUAAAUGCGGAAGAGAUAAGUGCUGAAAGCAUCUAAGCACGAAACUUGCCCCGAGAUGAGUUCUCCCUGAGACUUUAGGUCUCCUGAAGGAACGUUGAAGACGACGACGUUGAUAGGCCGGGUGUGUAAGCGCAGCGAUGCGUUGAGCUAACCGGUACUAAUGAACCGUGAGGCUUAACCUUACAACGCCGAAG
rnacentral:rRNA from 1 species